rnacentral:tRNA from 1 species
GCCGAUGUAGCUCAGUUGGUAGAGCAAUUGCUUCGUAAGCAAUUAGUCAGAGGUUCAAGUCCUCUCAUCGGCU